AGGAACUCGAUUCACGUUUGGCAAGAUUUUCACUAGUUUCUAGACAGUGCCUGCGAAACACAAAGACGUUGAUGGUCAGCGGUAAUAUACAAGGACUUGAGGAUAAAAAUCACGAGGAAUGCGAUUUGAUUCAAAAGUACGUCAGCAAUGAUGAUAUUUUGGAUGGCAUCGUAAGAAGAUGGUGGACGAGCUUACAGGAAUGACUUACCAUCGAGGUAUACUUGCGAUCAGACUUAUCGCGCGAGCUAAUAUUUAUUGUACAAAUAGGAUAUUGUGUCCCAAUGAUCCGUUUGUAACCUUUACGCAACAGAAUUUGUAGCGUUGUUGGUGUAAAUCAUUUGUAACUUGAGUUGAAUAACAAAACAUAUUCGUUCAUUUAA